AGAGGUUUGUUUUAACUCAAGAGAGAAACGACCCAAGCGUUAUUGCUGUCUUCAUCUCCUUAUCGUUAACGAGCAGCAGCUCUGGAGGAUUGUGAUCCUUAUCUAAUUCUGUUAGGGGAGCUGAAUGAUAGAAGAGAGAGGGAAGCAAGGCCGUGAUUAAUUGAAGAAAGAGAGAGUGAGAGCCGGCGACUUCAAAUCAAGAAAGGGAGAUGGAAAUCCGAUGGCGACGUCGAUUGGUGGAUUCAAUGGUAGACUUGAAUCGGAAAGAGGAGACGGCCGCGAGGGGGUGGGCUUCGCGUCAAUGCUAUCCAAGAGGGAAGAAGAAGAAGCAAUAGCUUCCUCGAUGAGAAAUCGUCCCCAGUCAUCAACGGCGGGCAGCGACGCGUGACGGGGGGCGUUGAAGCACUGGAGGCGUCCGCGAGAGCUGCUACGUCGUUGGAGAGAGGAGGAGAGGCCAGCUGCAGCGGGAAUCUCGAUUCAAAGGAGUUUGGAGAACUCGCCGGAUUCUGGAAAAGAGCUCGCCGUAGAAGAAGACUGACUUUCCAGCAAGUCUGGGAAAGUUCAGCGACCUCCCUGCAAGUGGGAGAAAGUUCAGUUACCUCCUGCAUGGUUGGAAAAGCUGGUGACUAAACUGCAAACUCUGAAAGUUGGGUGAUCUGAUUGCAAUUCAGGGACCAGUUCUGUAAUUUACCAAUUCGUGGAAAAUUACAGUUUUGCCAUAAAGUGUUCUUCGAUUUUGGGAAGAGUAAUUGAAGUAUAACUUUUUCGUUUGAGCUCCAAACGACGCACCGUCAGAGGCUGUGGAUUCAUGGCAGCAAGAGAAAUCUUCUCAGAUGCUUUCUGGGAUUUUGGCUCAUCAUCCAGGUGGGUGGUUUAAGGGGGGAUAAAAUCGUAUCGGUGCUUUAGGUUAAAUUAAGUUUAAAUAAUUUAACGAACGUAAUUUUAUGCAGUGAUUCCAUGGCAUGAAUCGAUGAUUAAGUGACCAUGCUAGGUUAUGUGGUGUUAUUAUGUGAUUGAUGCAAUUAAGUUUAUGUCAAUGAUUCCAUGAUUAAGUGACCAUGUUCUGUUAGACUAUGUUAUGAUAAUACUCGAUUGAUUAAGUGGGUAUCAUACGUCAUGUUAUUCAUGUGAUAGUUAAGCGACUAUGUUAUGAUAAGCUAUGUUAUGUUACAUCAUGUUAUUUAUGUGAUACAAGUAAUUGUAUGAUGUCGCUGUGAUUAAGUGGUUACCUUAUGCUAUGUUAGUAUGUCAUGGUUAGGUGGAUAUGUUAUGCUAGGCUAUGUUAGGUUAUGAUAUCCCUUGAUGACGUGCAAGUGAUCCCUUUAUACUUCGUUAAAGCAUGUCAUGUUCUCCAUUAGUGUUCACGUUAUGUCCAUCAUAUUAUUGUUAUUGUUAAGAGAUUAUGUCAUGAUUUGUUAUGUUAUUACUUGAUGAGGUUUUGUAAGUCGUGUCAUGCCUCCUUGAUUAGGGUUCACCCCAUGUUCAUAUGAUUAAGGUUAUGGUUAACCGGUUUUAUCUUGAUAUGUCAUGUUACUACUUGAUGAAGUUGUGCAAGUUCUACCUUGAAUCAUGCCAAGUCAUGUAAUGUCCCUCCUGAUUGAUGGUUACCUCAUGUUCAUGUUAUCCAUGUUGUACUUAAGUGGAUAUGUCAUGAUGUGUUAGCUUAUUACUUGAUGAUGUGUAAGAUGUGCCUUGAAUUAUGAUAAGGUUAGACUACCUGAAGAUCAUGCAUGUCAAGUGCAAGUGCUGAGAUACCUUAGAUAAGGUAAAGUAUAAGAGUAAGAUUCAAUGUCACGCGUUCUCAUGUUUUCUAAGUGAUCCUCAUAUGCUGAUGUGAUUAAAUGACAUGUGUUCUCGUUGUUCCUAAGUGAUGUUGGUGAUAAUGAUCACCUGUUAAGAUAUGUCAAGUGAUUCUCAUGUGCUGAUGUGUUGUGAUUUGUCCCAAUGUUCUUUGAUGUGAUAUCUACUUGUUAUGAUCAAUGUUCAUGUAAUGUUGUGUCUCUUAUGUGACAAUGUUUCUUUGAUUGUUGACCAGAGAUGAUAAGUGUUCAAGUAAUAAUGUGUUCAAGUAAUAANNNNNNNNNNNNNNNNNNNNNNNNNNNNNNNNNNNNNNNNNNNNNNNNNNNNNNNNNNNNNNNNNNNNNNNNNNNNNNNNNNNNNNNNNNNNNNNNNNNNNNNNNNNNNNNNNNNNNNNNNNNNNNNNNNNNNNNNNNNNNNNNNNNNNNNNNNNNNNNNNNNNNNNNNNNNNNNNNAAGUAAUAAUGUGUUCUUCAUGUUUGAAUGUUCCUUUAAGAUUGAUUCGAGGUUCAAUCUUUGAUGAUGACUAUGUUACUACGUAUACUGGCCAUGUUAAGUUCACAUGUACUUGGAUCGCAGAAAGAUCACUAUGUUAUGCAUUAUGCCUACUCAGUUAGCAUUAAGGAUUCUAUAUGUAGUUAUAUGUAUUUGUCUUUCCUAUGUUCUAGCGUGAUGCUCAUGUUAGGUGUCUAAAUGACUAAAAGGGAAUACGUCGUGGUUAGAUAACCAUAAAGCAUGUCUCUAAGUGAAGAUAGUGUCUGAAUGAAUAAGUUGAUGUCAGAAUAAGUAUUGUCUAGAUGAGAUGAUGUCUGAAUAUGUGUGAUGUUGGUAAAGUUAAGUUGGAAAUCAUGUGUUAUGCUUAACACAAGAUAGACUGACCCUAGAACUACCCAACAUGGUGUUUCUAAGUUGCUGUAGGAGUAGAGUGGAGCUGAUUCGGGUGUGGAGUGGUGGACUUGUUUUUAAAUGUCAAAUUUGAUUUUCAAGUGUUACUAAGACUUGGUUCUUUUCAUUUUGUCUUAGGAUAAGGCACUUUAGUUUCUUUCAUGUGGUCGGUAAGUUUUCGAAGUUCCUUUGAGUCGAGUCGUCCUUGCAGGGAAAUUUGGUUAUUUAAUAAAUAGAAAACGUUUGGGGUGUGUCAUACUCUUUCGAUCAAAUUGUAAGCUUGUACCGUUGUCUAGUAGUUAGUAGAGGCUAGUGAACAACCCUCGUGGAUAUGACACUUGUUAGCUAGGAAUUGGGAGUAAUCCCUUUCUCAAGCGAUCACUCAUCAACCAUUGAGUUUCAACAUGCUCAACUACUUGAUUAGAUGCAGAUACUCACCAAGAUGAUGGAUGCUUUCAAGCUAGCUCAUCGAAGCAACCAGUGCUCCAACAAACCUGUAAAUGCACCUAUGAAGGGUGAGGAGGAACUCAUUAUGACCUCUGAAGCUGUAUGAUUGUUUAUGAGCUAGAACCAAACAUGAAACAAGAGCAAGUGGACAACAUAGUGGUCAUAAUCAAGGAAUAUAUCAACUAGGAAAGAACACUUAAUAGGAAUCAGAAUAACUACCAGCAACAAGGCCAGAACAACUGCAGACGUAAGAACAAUUUUUAGCAGCAAGCCCAAAACACCUAUUGGAAUCAACAUAGUCAUCAACAUGAUUUCCUCCUCAACAACAACAAUUAUCCGUAGAGAUCCUUUUGGUGAAGUUCUUUGCUUCUAAUGGCGUUACUCAAUAAUAAAUCAAGCGCAAUUCAGUGUAACAGAAGCAGCAAUCGGGAACUUGGAAAAUUCAAAUAGGAGAAUUGUCCAAGUUCGUCACUAAGAAGCCAAAUAGGAUGCCAAGUGCUACUAUUCCUAAUCCAAAACAUGGGCAGUCCCAAAGAGCAGUGACACUAAGGAGUGGCAAGGAAGUUCUUGACUAUCCAAUGAAACCAGUGCUAGUGGAGAUAUAAGAAAAAGCUGCAUCUAUAACUCUUAAACAUAUCGCCCAGACUCACCUUAGGGUACCACACCCUGCUACAUUGAAAAGGAAGCCGUUGACAAACAAUGAUUUUGAAAAAUUUCUGGAUGUACUCAACAAACAGAGUUUGAGCAUCCAACUAUUAGAUUUUCCUUUCAAAAUGUCAAAAAAUGAACAAAUAGCAAUGACGAGCCAAAGCAUGGAUGAAUCAUUCCUAUGGCAUCUCCGAUAUGGACACCUAAACUACAAAGGGCAUAAAUUACUGAAGCAGAAAAAUAUGGUGGUCGGUCUUCCUCAAAUCAACAAAGAAGACAAGGUCUAUGAAGGAUGCAUAUAUGACAAAAUGCAUCGCUUGCCAUUUCCAAAAACUACUUGAAGAGCAAAAGCACCGCUAGAGUUGGUAUACACUGAUAUUUGCGGACCAACUAGAACAACAUCCAUAGGUGGUAAGAGAUACUUUCUUCUACUUGUGGAUGAUUAUACUAGAAUGAUGUGGGUAUGGUUUCUUGAGAAAAAGUCAAAAGCUUUCUCCAAGUUCGUUCAAUUCUACUUGUGGAUGAUUAUACUAGAAUGAUGUGGGUAUGGUUUCUUGAGAAAAAGUCAAAAGCUUUCUCCAAGUUCGUUCAAUUCAAAGCAGCAAUUGAGAAGGAAAGCGGGCAUCAAAUCAAAACACUGAAAAGAUCAUGGUGGAGAGUUCAUUUACAAACCAUUUAUGGAGUACUGUCGCACCAAUGGAAUCAAGAGGUAGUUGACAGUGCGGUACACACCACAACAAAAUGGCAUAGUAGAACGAAAGAACCGUACAAUUGUGGAGAUGUCAAGAAGCAUGAUGACUGCUAAGAAACUUCCCAACCAACUAUGGGCAGAAGCUAUCAAUACAACAAUCUACAUCCUCAAUAGAUCGGCAACCAAAGCAGUGAAGUACAAAGCACCAUUUCAAGCAUCGCACCACUAAUGGCCGCAAAUAGAUCACCUCAAAGUAUUCAGAUGCAUAGCUUAUGCACACAUCUCUACCCCAAAUCGAGAGAAGUUCGACCCGAAAGGAGAGAAGCUCAUCUUCAUCGAAUAUACCGAUGAAUCCAAAGGCUAUAGACUAUACAAUCCUUUAAAGAUCGAGGUAGUGAUUUCACGAGAUGUUAUCUUCGACGAAAUGGUUGAGUGGAGUUGGGAAACUCGGGAUACCCAACCUCCAUAAAAAAUGAGAUCUUGGAGAAUCCAACAACUACAGCAACAACACUAAAUGAGGCGGAUUAGAUUCCAAGCCAAGGAAGAAGUCCAACAACGAGUCUAACAAGAGACAAUGUUAGAGACGUUUUGACAGAUUCAGACUCACGUAAAUCUCGCUACAUUUUCGCCAGCGCGCCAACAAAUUUCGUAUCAGAGCAGAAACAACAUUUCUGAGAAUUUUUGGCAUCAAAUUAGCCAAAGAAGCUUGGGAAGUCUUUAAGAACGAAUUUCAAGGUUCCAAGAAGGUAAUCUCCAUAAAAUGCCAAAAUCUAUGGCGUCAAUUCAAAAACCUAGCAAUGAAGGAAGGCGAAACCAUGAAAGACUUUCAUUCUCGUGUUGCUGAGAGAUUGAACCAGAUCAAAGUCACUAGAGAUACUAUCGAUGAGAAGAAGAUCGUGGAAAGGAUCCUUCGCAGCCUAACACCGAAGUUUGAGCAUGUUGUCACUGUCAUAGAAGAAACCAAAGAUUUUGGAAAAUUACCCAUGAUGGAGCUUAUGGGAUCACUUGUAGCUCACGAGCAAAGAUUGAGUCGGUUUACCAACCGACAACUCGAGCUAGCUUUUCAAUCCAAGGUCGACAUCAAGGAGAUAAAUCAGCAAAUCAGGAGCAGAAUCACAAAGGAGACAAGUUUCAGAAAAAAUUAGGAAAACCAAAUUUCAAGAAAAACAACAACUAGAGCCAGAAUGAGGAGAAAUCAAGCAAAUCCAACGACGGAUGCAAAAUUUGGAAAAAAUCUGACCAUGCUACCAAAGAAUGCAGGUUUAGGUGGACCAAAUGCAAAAUUCAAAAUCACUCUCAACGAAAUUUGCUGGUUCCAAAACAAGAAAGAAGAAGGCGAAUCAAGCUUUGCACAGAAGGACAAAGAAAAAUUGGUCGCUUACACUUGCUUCAAAGCCGAGCAAAAUUCACAACUUCUAUGGGUGGUGGACAGCGGUUGUAGUAAUCACAUGACUAGAGAUCGGGAGUCCUUCACCGAGAUGGAUGAUACAUAUAAUUGCCAAGUGAAGAUUGGAGACGGUAAAAAGCUGGAAGUUGAAGGAAAGUGUACAAUCAUGGUACAAAGAAAGGAAGGUAACAAAACACUAAUCCAAGAAGUUUUGUAAGUUCCUGAAUUAGCUCAGAAUUUUCUGAGUGUUGGACAACUAAUGCUUAAAAAAUGCAAGCUAUUGUUUGAUAACGAAGAAUGUAAGAUUAUCAACAAAGCCAACAACUCGAAAGUGGAAAAUCUCGAUGACUUCUACCAAGAUGUUUCCUUUCAAAAUGCCGAAGAAUGAAGAAAUAACAAUGAAGAGCAAACGCAUGGAUGAAUCAAUGCGGGGAAAACAGGGUUCGUCGGCAAGUGGAUUCCGAUUCUUCCUCCGAUUCUGGACAUGGAGAUCCUAUUUCUGAUUCACCUCUUCGAGGAAGAGAUAGAAUAUCUGAUUCAAUUAGUAGAUCAGAUGGACACCUAAACUACAAAUGGCUUAAAUUACUGAAGCCGAAAAAUAUGGUGGUCGAUCUUCCCUAAAUCAACAGAGAAGAUAAAGUUUAUGAAGGAUGCAUAUAUGGCAAAAUGCAUCGCUUGCCAUUUCCAAAAACUAAAGCACCACUAGAGUUGAUAUACACUGAUAUUUACGGACCAACUAGAACAACAUUCAUAGGUGGUAAGAUAUACUUUCUUCUAUUUGUGGAUGAUUAUACUAGAAUGAUGUGGGUAUGCUUUCUUGAGAAAAUGUCAGAAGCUUUCUCCAAGUUCCUUCAAUUCAAAGCAGCAGUUGAGAAGGAAAGCAUGCAUCAAAUCAAAACACUCCAAAAAGAUCAUAGUGGAGAGUUCAUCUACAAACCAUUUAUGGAGUACUGUCGCACCAAUGGAAUCAAGAGGUAGUUGACAGUGCGAUACACACCACAACACAAUAACGUAGUAGAACGAAAGAACCGUACUAUUGUGGAGAUGUCAAGAAGCAUGAUGACUGCUAAGAAAACUCCCAAGCAACUCUGGGUAAAAGCUAUCAAUACAACAAUCUACAUCCUCAACAGAUCGCCAACCAAAGCAGUGAAGUACAAAGCACCUUUUCAAGCAUGGCACCACAAAUGGCCGCAAAUAGCUCACCUCAAAGUAUUCGGAUGUAUAACUUAUGCAAACAUCUCUACCCCAAAUCGAGACAAGUUCGACCAGAUAGGAGAGAAGCAAAUCUUCAUUCGAUAUAGCGAUGAAUCCAUAGGCUAUAGACUCUCCAAUCCAUUAAAGAACGAGGUGGUGAUUUCAUGAGAUGUUAUGUUCGACGAAAUGGCCGAUUGGAGUUGGGAAACUCGGGAUACCCAACCUCCAUAAAAAAUGAGAUCUUGGAGAAUCCAACAACUACAGCAACAACACUAAAUGAGGCGGAUUAGAUUCCAAGCCAAGGAAGAAGUCCAACAACGAGUCUAACAAGAGACAAUGUUAGAGACGUCGUGACAGAUUCAGACUCACGUAAAUCUCGCUACAUUUUCGCCAGCGCGCCAACAAAUUUCGUAUCAGAGCUAAAGUUACGCUGAGUAUGCCCUGUGGUUGCGAUUUUAAUAACUGAUCUUACACAUAAAAAAGUUACACUUUAGUACUUUGAUAAUCAUAUUUUAAUCCACCCUCACAAAGUCCUCUGAAAACCUCUACAAAAAAAUCCUCUCAAAAUACUAUGGCAGCACCAUCGUCAAGUUCCAUGUUCGCCAACUCUCCCAAUCAAAUCCCAAUUUUUUAUGGAGAAUUGUACGAAUAUUGGAAAGCACAAGUGGAGACUAUCUUCAUUUCGCAAGAGUUGCGGAAUAUUUUUCAAGAAGGCAUCAAAAAAUCACCACAAGAGGACGACUCCACAUCGACCAGAUAGGAGAGAAGCUCAUCUUCAUUCGAUAUAGCGAUGAAUCCAUAGGCUAUAGACUCUCCAAUCCAUUAAAGAACGAGGUGGUGAUUUCAUGAGAUGUUAUGUUCGACGAAAUGGCCGAUUGGAGUUGGGAAACUCGGGAUACCCAACCUCCAUAAAAAAUGAGAUCUUGGAGAAUCCAACAACUACAGCAACAACACUAAAUGAGGCGGAUUAGAUUCCAAGCCAAGGAAGAAGUCCAACAACGAGUCUAACAAGAGACAAUGUUAGAGACGUUUUGACAGAUUCAGACUCACGUAAAUCUCGCUACAUUUUCGCCAGCGCGCCAACAAAUUUCGUAUCAGAGCUAAAGUUACGCUGAGUAUGCCCUGUGGUUGCGAUUUUAAUAACUGAUCUUACACAUAAAAAAGUUACACUUUAGUACUUUGAUAAUCAUAUUUUAAUCCACCCUCACAAAGUCCUCUGAAAACCUCUACAAAAAAAUCCUCUCAAAAUACUAUGGCAGCACCAUCGUCAAGUUCCAUGUUCGCCAACUCUCCCAAUCAAAUCCCAAUUUUUGAUGGAGAAUUGUACGAAUAUUGGAAAGCACAAGUGGAGACUAUCUUCAUUUCGCAAGAGUUGCGGAAUAUUUUUCAAGAAGGCAUCAAAAAAUCACCACAAGAGGACGACUCCACAUCGACCAGAUAGGAGAGAAGCUCAUCUUCAUUCGAUAUAGCGAUGAAUCCAUAGGCUAUAGACUCUCCAAUCCAUUAAAGAACGAGGUGGUGAUUUCAUGAGAUGUUAUGUUCGACGAAAUGGCCGAUUGGAGUUGGGAAACUCGGGAUACACAACCUCCAUCAAAAAAUGAGAUCCUAGAGAAUCCAACAACUACACCAACAACACAUAAUGAGUUGGAUCAAAAUCUUGUCCAAGGAAGAAGUCCAACAACGAGUCUAACAAGAGACAACGUCAGAGAUAUCGUGAGUGAUUCAGACUCACCUCCAUUAAACGUCAGAUCUUUAAGAGAAAUUUAUGAAUCUUGUCACGUAGCAUAUUUUUCUUAUCAACCUUAUACAUUUGAAGAAGCAGCAAAAGACAAAGUCUGGACAGAAGCAAUGGACACAAAGAUCUCAAUGAUGGAGAAGAACAAGACUUGGGAGCUCGUGGACACACCAAAAUCCAAGCCGGUCAUAGGUCUAAAAUGGAUCUACAAGACACAAUUUAACAAAGAUGGUUCCAUCCAGAAGCACAAAGCAAGAUUGGUGGCAAAAGGCUAUUCACAACAGUGUGGCCUCGACUUUCACGAAACCUUCACACCAGUAGUGCGGAUGAAGACAAUAAGAACAGUCAUAGCACUAGCAGCUCAAAUGGAGUUACCAAUAUUCUAGGUAGACGUCAAGUCAGUAUUGCACAAUGGAACACUAGAAGAAGAAGUCCAUGUGGAACAACCAUGAGGGUACGAGAAGAAAGGAGGAGAAGACAAAGUCUAUCGACUCAAAAAUGUGGUCUACGGAUUUAAACAAGCGUCUCGAGUGUGGAACAACAUAAUUGAUCGCUAUUUUCAAAACAAUGGAUUCCAAAGAAGUCCAAGUGGAGCAUCUCUAUACGUAAAAAAGGGAGAAGAUAAAAUCAUUCUUAUUUUGUGCUUAUAUAUUGAUGACUUGAUCUAUACGGGGCACAAGUCCACAAAUGAUUGAAGAAUUCAAAAGAGCAAUGAUGUUAGAAUUCAAGAUGAAAGACUUGGGACUUAUGAAGUAUUUCCUCGCAAUUCAAAUGAAGCAGAAGCCAUGGGAAAUAUUCAUCUCCUAAGAGAAAUAUACCGAAGAUAUGUUGAAUAGAAUUCACAUGGAAACGUCCAAGCCCAUAGCUACACUAAUGGUACUAAGAGAUAAACUGCAACAAGAUAAUGGAGCAUAAAAAGUUGACAGAAAAAUCUACUGAAGCCUAGUCGGAUCGCUCAUAUAUCUGACACACACAAGACCAGAUAUAUGUCACUCGGUAGUCUCAUUUCAAGAUUUUAAAUGUGCCUAUCAAACUUCAUUUUGCAGUAGCAAAGAGAAUCCUACGAUACCUCCAAGGCACUAAACAAUUGGGCCUAAGGUACAAGAAGGAAGUAGGAAGCAAGCUAAUCGAAUACAGUGACAGUGACUGGGCAGGAUCACUAGAUGACCAAAAAAGUGGUUAAUUCUUCAGUAUACCCGAUAUACCGAAACUUUCGGUGUGCCCAGUUUUUUUGGUAAAGUAAGUUUUUAUUUCACAUUUUAUUUUUUAUCUCAUAUGUUUUCUCAAUUUGACAAAGGAGCUUUAGCAAGCUAAGGCAGCAGCUCAGAGAGCAAUAGAGGGAGAUGAAGGAAACACAACUCCGAAAACAUGCAGCAAGAUAACAAAAUUCCAGUGCUUCAAAACAAAACUUGGGACAUUCUGCAACUGAAAAAUCAAACAAAACACCAUGUAUGGCACCCCAAAGUGACAACAAAAAACAGUAGCAACAAUUUCAAUUAAACCACAUGAAAUUUUUUAUUUGAAAUCACAUGAAAUUUUGGAUCAAUUACAAUCCAAUUUCAGAUCGCAAACUGUAAUCAAAAAUAAAAUAUGAAAUAGAAAUUAUCAAAAAUAAAAUGUGAAAUAGAAAUUUAAUAUUUGAAUAAUUAUAAACCGCCGAGAUCGCAAACUGAAAAUGGACGUUGGUGAUGGAUUUACAUUACCAAAAAAAAACUUGACACACUAAAAGUUUGGGUAUACCAGGUAUACUGAAGAAUUCAACCAAAAAAGUACAUCUAGUUACAUAUUUUCCCUAGCUACAAAACCAAUUUACUAUAGCUCAAAGAAGUAGAAGACUGUGGCAUUAUCAUUAGUGGAAGCAGAAUCUAUUGCAGUAAUAGAUGCAGCAUGCGAGAGAGUAUGGCUAAAAAGAUUAAUUGAAGACUUGCAACAAGGUGAUAAUGAACCAAUCAUUAUUCAUUGUGACAAUAUGUCAGCUAUAGGCAUGAUUAAGAUAUCUCAACCUCCCAACUAGUCUUAUUAAUUUGAUAUGAGGUUAUUAUAUAGCAGAACAAAAUCAAGUCCAAUAAUUUGAGAUGGUGUAGGUAGAGAUAACAAUAAUAUCUUAUUAUUCUAAUGUAAAAUUAUGAGUAUAAAUAGGUGUUUUGCAUUGAGUUGGAGAGGCAAUGAAAACAAAUUGUAAGCAAAGCAAAAGUGAGCAAAGAGGUGUCUGUGAGCAAAUUGUGAGGGUGAGUGAAUUGGUCAAGUGACCAAGUUUUAAUAUUUAAAAAGUUAAGUGAUUAAUUAAGUGAGUUAUCAAAAUAUUAUCUUUUUGAUUCUAAAUCCCGCUACAUUUCCACUAGUGGCCCAACAAGAUUAGAGACUCUAUCGGGUUAUCUCGUUGCGCCAAUCAAUUUCUUCAAUGGGACCUUCUGCUUUGACUUUCAAUCGCAAUAAUGGAAUUUGAAGCUUCUUCGAGUUGUUAUAAACCUACUCCAUCAGCCCUUGAUGGAAGAAUAACCCAGAAACCUCAAGAAAGUGAUUUUAUCUUUCCCUGUUUUCCUGUUCCAACGAGCUCCAUCGUGAUCAUGGAAUUCGGCGAUGCUGGUAAUCCCAUUCUUGUUUCGGGGUCCAGGACGGUUGGAAAUACCUCUCCAAAUUUGAAGGCAUUGUUGAUCGCCGCCGUUACCAACUCAAGUCCCUUUCUCCUUUCACUGAUUGCACCUCCGAAGGAAGACAUUGACAAUAAGCUCCAAACAUGUCCAUAUCUCGUAAUAUACCUUGAGUCCGUAGGAACCUAAGGAAACUAACCGUGUCUUCCAUCGUCAUUCUCGAGCAAUUUCACAGCUGAUUUCGGAGCGCCGGAAGAACCAAACUCUGCCGGAGUUCCUCUCUGGGAAUCGAGGACGAAGAUGGGUAAAGUUACCUUUUAAUUUCCCAAAUAAUGUUAGACAUAACUUUUGAAUAUGUUUAGCUGUAGCCCAACAUACAUCUAGUCAUUACAGUUUAGUCCUGGACACUUAUGAAAGCGACGGAAGUGACUGAUUCUUGGACUAUGAACCUAUAAUUCGAGCCAACUCGAUUCACCCAAGCUGGGAUUGGUUAAGGGGGUAAAUUCCAUUUUAAUAGUUAGCUUAAUGAUUGAAAUAUCAAUUAUGCGUCUUUGAUAUGUGUGAUCAAUGAAUGGAAUAUGUGAUAAGUGGCAACUUGACAAUGUCAAUUGUACAUGAUUUAUUGACCAUUGGUUCUAAUAAAUGUGGUGGUAUACCUGAUUGAUAGGAUAUGUGUUAUAUGAUUUGUUAUUUGGUCAUUGUUCAUGUGGCUACAAGUAUAUGUUAAUGGUAUAAUAAGGAGAAUUGUUUGAUCACCUAGAUUAAGGCCCGUAUGCUGGCGAUCUACAUGUGUGCUUAUUGCACUACUGCUACGUGUAUAUGGCCCCAAAUGGGUGCGAAUAAUGGUUCCUUGAUGGUGCCACCAAUGAUAAGUGAAAUGGGCAUGAAUUUUGCAACCAAUGAUAUGUGAAAGCUCGAGAAUCGUUAGCAUACGUGAGUCAAGGAUCCCAACUAAAAUAUGGAAGGAGCCUGAGUCAUAUUGCUUAUGUGUUUGAUGAUUGUAAUUUUUAUUGUGACUUAUAAGGAUUGACCCCGAGCCACCCACCAGAUGUUUAUAGGUUAACAGGGAAUAGCUAAGGUCGAUCGUCGGUGUUUCUGUGGCCCAGCUAAAGUUAACAAGGACUGUGAGAUUGUGUGAUUUGGAACUUGGUGCCGACAUUGGUUUUGAAUGCAUGCGAGGGACAACUUUGGAAAUUAGUAUUCAUGAUGCAUUUAAAUAUUUCUUCUUUUUUUAGUACAAGAUGGCUAUUUAUAUUUGAAUUGAAAGAGUAAUUACCCCUUGCAAAGUCAAGAGUCCGUCUCGGGAUAAUUUAUUUCAUUAUUUUCAGUUAUAAGAGUUGGGGUGUUACAGUUGAGGAACUUAGAGCAAUGAUUUUUGAUAAGGAAGUAAAAGAUCAAGCACCCAAAGAGACACCCCUCCCUCUACCUAAACACACUCAAUGAGAGUUUAAGGCUGAGCAGAAAGAAGAGAAAGAUGAACUCUCUCUCAACCCAAUAAGCAUAGCAGAUCAUCGACCAAAGUGGUAAAAAACACUUUGACCCUGAGAGUUUCACUUUGUCUUGUUUUGCCGGUACUCAACGCAUUGAUAGACUUUUAUUUGAUUUGGCUGCUACCGUUAGUGUCAUGCCUUAUUCUCUAUUUGAGCAUGGGGUUCCACCAUGGAAAAACUUUUCAGCACUUUGAAUUGGUUUCUGACUUGUGAUUCAUGAUUAGUUUGUUUUGUUAUUUCCCAAUGCCAUAUGCUUGUUGAAUUGUCAUGCUUUCCAUGUCUAUCAUUUCACCCUUAUUUCUUUUCAUCUCAUCUAGACUUGUGUUUCUGUUUUAUUCGUUUAUCCUUUUGUCAUGUGGUUGAACUAUUGUUAGUCUGUUUUGGUUUCCUUCAUUUUCUGUGAGUUGAUGUAACAGAUUGGUAUUAGCCUAUCCGCUAUUGUGUCUUUUGUUUUUGUGACUGUAGAACUCUUAUCAUAUCCAAAUGUUUUCUAGAUCUCAAUUGCCGUCAGAAUGGAGCCUUUGUCCUCGUCCAUGCUAUGCAUUUGCUCAGUCUGUCGCUCAUCAAGUUAGUACCCGCUUCUUUUGUUCCUCCCUUACUUUGAUUUUGUGGUCCAUUAAGGCCAAUGUCAUGUUUAAGUGUCGGGGGAACUUUGUUGUUAUUUGUCGGGGUUGUGAUUCUCUAUUUCGUGUCCUCAUUUGUGGUUAUUUUGCACCUUGUCUUUGCCUUACGAAACUCCAUCUCGAGUUUCGUUUGUGGAUGUUAGUGGAUGCAUUUUUAGUGAUCGCGCUCUAUUUUUAGAUGUCUUCGAUGCUAGUAUCUCAUUUUCGAACCACCUGUCUUUAGUAACCAAGUUUUUUCGGGCUUUCGUACUUUUAAUUUCGUAAUUCUUUUCUACGUCGAAAUGUCAAUGUUUUCGGGCCCGCUACUGUUAUUAAUUGAGAGGCUGCCACCUCUUGUUUUGUUUGAAGAAACGUUGCAAAGUUCCAUUGGAGGAGAGGGGAGGUGGCAGCCCCUUUUCUUGAUUUAAAUGGACAAACAAGAGGAAGAUGAGGGAGGAUGGUUUCUGGGAACGAAAAAAUUCCUGCACCCCAAGUCCUAGUCCAAAAUAAAGAAGAAAAGAAAAUUAUUACAGCAAGUUACAAACACGAGCUAAACCUAAGUACAACCGUUUC
rnacentral:lncRNA from 1 species